rnacentral:rRNA from 1 species
CCUACGGGAGGCAGCAGUGAGGAAUAUUGGUCAAUGGGCGGAAGCCUGAACCAGCCAAGUAGCGUGCGGGAUGAAGGCCCUACGGGUCGUAAACCGCUUUUGCACGGGGAUAACACCCUCCACUUGUGGAUGUCUGCAGGUACCGUGCGAAUACGGGCCGGCUAAUUCCGUGCCAGCAGCCCCGGUAAUACGGAAGGCCCGAGCGUUAUCCGGAUUCAUUGGGCUUAACGGUAGCGUAGGCGGGCGUUCAAGUCAGCUGUAAAAUCGCGCGGCUCAACCGCGCCCCGCAGUUGAAACUGGACGCCUUGAGUGCACAACAGGCAGGCGGAAUUCGAGGUGUAGCGGUGAAAUGCAUAGAUAUCACGAGGAACCCCGAUUGCGAAGGCAGCCUGCCGGGGUGCGACUGACGCUGAGGCUCGAAGGUGCGGGUAUCAAACAGGAUUAGAUACCCUAGUAGUC